GGUUCGAUUAUGGCUCAGAUUGAACGCUUCGGCGGAUGCUUUACACAUGCAAGUCGAACGGCAGCACGGACUUCGGUCCUGGUGGCAGUGGCGAACAGGUGAACUGAUAUAUCCGGAACAUUGCCUAGUAGCGGGGGUCUUCGCAAAGCGUAGCUAAUACCGCAUACGCCCUUCGGGGGAAAGCGGGGGACCUUCGGGCCUCGCACUAUUAAACGGCCGAUAUCGGAUUACUUAGCUAGUUAGUGGGAGUAGCUCCGCAAAGGCGACGAUCCGUGGCUGGUUUGAGAGGACGACCAGCCACACUGGGACUGAGACCUGGCUUGAACUCUACGGGGAGGCAGCAGUGGGGAAUUUUGGACAGUGGAAACCCUGAUCCAACCAUCCCGCGUGUGCGAUGAAGGCCUUUGGUUCGUAAAAGCACUUUUGGCAGGAAAGAAACGGCACGGGAUAUUACCCCGUGCAACUGACGUACCUACCGAAUAAGCAGCACCAAGCUAACUACAUUACCAGCAGCCGCGAUAAUACGUAGGGUGCAAGCGUUAAUCGGAAUUACUGGGCGUAAAGCAUUGCUGCGACGAUUCAGAAAAAAGAUGUGAAAUCCAGAGCUUAACUUUAGAACUGCAUUUUUAACUACCGAGCUAGAGUGUGUCGGGGAAAUUAAAUUCUAACGUGUAGCAGUGAUACGUAAGUAUGCGGAGGAACACCGAUGGCGAAGGCAGCCUCGCGGAUAACACUGACGCUCAUGCGAAAAAGCUUGUGGGGAGCAAACAAGUUAGAUACCCUGGUAGUCCACGCCCUAAACGAUGUCAACCAGCUGUUGGGGCCUUCGGGCCUUGGUAGCGCAGCUAACGCGCGUGAAGUUGACCGCCUGGGGGAAAUACAGUCGCAAGAUUAAAACUCAAAGGAAUUGACGGGGACCCGCACAAGCAGUGGAUGAUCUGUGGGUUAAUUCGAUGCAACGCGAAAAACCGCCACCUACCCUUAAACAUGUCGGAAUCCCGAAGAGAUUUGAGUGCUCGCAAGAGAACCGGAACUUACAAGUUAACACUUCUUUGUCGUCAGCUCAUGUCGUGAGAUGUUGGGUUAAGUCCCGCAACGAGCGCAACCCUUGUCAUUAGUUGCUACGAAGGGCACUCUAUUAGGACUGCGGGUGACAAACCGGAGAAGGUGGGGAUGACGUCAAGUCCUCAUGGCCCAUAUGGGUAGGGCUUCACACGUCAUACAAUGGUCAGGACGAAGGGGUCGCCAACCCGCGAGGAGCCAAUCCAGAAACCCGAUCGUAGUCGGAUCGCAGUCUGCAACUCGACUGCGUGAAGUCGGAAUCGCUAGUAAUCGCGGAUCAGCAUGUCGCGGUGAAUACGUUCCCGGGUCUUGUACCUGCCGCCCGUCACACCAUGGGAGUGGGUUUACCAGAAGUAGUUAGCCUAACCGUAAGGAGGGCGAUUACCACGGUAGGAUUCAUGACUGGUUGAAGUCGUAACAAGGUAA
rnacentral:rRNA from 1 species